rnacentral:misc_RNA from 1 species
GAAAUGCGAUACGUAAUGUGAAUUGCAGAAUUCAGUGAAUCAUCGAAUCUUUGAACGCAUAUUGCACUCUCUGGUAUUCCGGAGAGUAUGCUUGUUUGAGUAUCAGUAAACACCUCAGAAAGAAAUUUUUUUUUCUGGAUUUGAGCUGUCCCAACUCUUGUUCAGUCAAGAGGCGGGUUGCUUGAAAUGCAGGUGCAGCUGGGAUUCCACACUUCAUUGUCCAAGGCUACAAGCAUUUCUGCUUAGUCCGGUCAAACGGAUUAUACCUUUUUGCUGCAGCCAAACGAUAGUUGGGCUCCCGAAACGCUGACUGAUGCAGGAUAAUAUUUGACAGAUUUCGAGGGGGUUUUUUUUUUCUCCCUUCGAUCUUUGUUUGUUCCACUCGAUCUCAAAUCAAGUA